rnacentral:misc_RNA from 1 species
AGGGUUGCUAGGGUUUUGAGGAGGUGGGUCCCAAGGGUUGAGGGAAAGGUGAUGAUGGUGGUGGGUAGUGAGGGGGAAGAAAGAAGGGUGGGGUUGUGGGUUUUGUAGAAGAAGAGAUUGGGCUGUAGGAUUUGUGGAAACUAAUUGGUGAGCUGAGAGCCUUGCACUUUCUUCUGCUAAUGCAUCACAGAAUGCCCUGUGGGUUAUGAAGCUAUCCUUCCUGGAGAAAAG